rfam:Brassica napus, WGS project CCCW01000000 data, contig: 32947
AAGCCAUGAUGUGGGCAUUGAGACCAAUAGCCCUUGAACCUCUCCCAAGCUUCACUAAAGCCCUCUAGAUUCUUCUGCUGAAAGCUAGAGAUCUCAUUCCUGAUCUU